GUGCCAGCAGCCGCGGUAAUACAGAGGGUGCAAGCGUUAAUCGGAAUUACUGGGCGUAAAGGGCGCGUAGGUGGUUGAUUAAGUCAGAUGUGAAAACCCUGGGCUUAACUUAGGAAUUGCAUUUGAAACUGAUCGACUAGAGUUUGGGAGAGGGAAGUGGAAUUUCCGGUGUAGCGGUGAAAUGCGUAGAUAUCGGAAGGAACAUCAGUGGCGAAGGCGACUUCCUGGCCCGAUACUGACACUGAGGCGCGAAAGCGUGGGGAGCAAACAGGAUUAGAUACCCUGGUAGUCC
rnacentral:rRNA from 1 species